rnacentral:lncRNA from 1 species
CUACAGUUGGGUGCAGACCAAGCAUUACAUGUAAACGGGCCUUAAAAGUUAACGCGGCGUUUACUCACGUGCACUUCAUGUAAACGCCGCGUUAACUCUGCGUUAACUCCGAAAUUUUAGUAGACAUAAAUAGUAAACGGGCGUUUACUUUCGCGUUUACCUCCGCGUUAACGCAAAAACCGCGCGUCUUCUAAUUUUGUAAAGAGUAAACGGGCGUUUACUUCGCGUUAACGCGAAAAAGGCGUGUCUUCCAAUUUUGUAUAAUAAAGUAAACGCCCG